GAAAAAUCCGGAAUAACGCAUGUCAAAAAAGUUAUAAAUUGAUAUAUAUAUAUAUAUAUAUAUAUAUCAAUUUAUACCUUUUUUGACAUGUGUUUUUCCGGAGUUCCCG